rnacentral:rRNA from 1 species
UUCCGGUUGAUCCCGCCGGACCUGACUGCUAUCGGAUUGAUACUAAGCCAUGCUAGUCUUUGUAGUAAUACAAGGCAUACGGCUCAGUAACGCGUAGUCAACCUACCCUAUGGACGGGGAUAAUCUCGGGAAACUGAGCAUAAUACCCGGCAGACCACUUAUCCUGGAAUGGUUAGUGGUUAAAAUGAUUCGUCGCCAUAGGAUGGGACUGCGGCCUAUCAGCUUGUUGGUGAGGUAAUGGCCCACCAAGGCGAUUACAGGUACGGGCUCUGAGAGGAGAGGCCCGGAGAUGGGUACUGAGACAAGGACCCAGGCCCUAUGGGGCGCAGCAGGCGAGAAAACUUUGCAAUGUGCGAAAGCACGACAAGGUUAAUCCGAGUGAUUUCUGCUAAAGGAAUCUUUUGUUAGUUCUAAAAAUACUAGUGAAUAAGGGGUGGGCAAGUUCUGGUGUCAGCCGCCGCGGUAAAACCAGCACCUCAAGUGGUCAGGAGGAUUAUUGGGCCUAAAGCAUCCGUAGCCUGUUCUAUAAGUUUGCGGUUAAAUCUAUACGCUCAACGUAUAGGCUGCCGUAAAUACUGUAGAACUAGGGAGUGGGAGAGGUAGACGGUACUCGAUAGGAAGGGGUAAAAUCCUUUGAUCUAUUGAUGACCACCUGUGGCGAAGGCGGUCUACCAGAACACGUUCGACGGUGAGGGAUGAAAGCUGGGGGAGCAAACCGGAUUAGAUACCCGGGUAGUCCCAGCUGUAAACGAUGCAGACUCGAUGAUGCAAUGGCAUAGAGCUAUUGCAGUAUCGCAGGGAAGCCGUUAAGUUUGCCGCCUGGGAAGUACGUACGCAAGUAUGAAACUUAAAGGAAUUGGCGGGGGAGCACCACAAGGGGUGAAGCCUGCGGUUCAAUUGGAUUCAACGCCGGG